GAAAUGCGAUAAGUAAUGUGAAUUGCAGAAUUCAGUGAAUCAUCGAAUCUUUGAACGCACAUUGCGCCCACCAGUAUUCUGGCGGGUAUGCCUGUUCGAGCGUCAUUACAACCCUCAGGCCCCCGGGCCUGGCGUUGGGGAUCGGCGGAAGCCCCCUGCGGGCACAACGCCGUCCCCCAAAUACAGUGGCGGUCCCGCCGCAGCUUCCAUUGCGUAGUAGCUAACACCUCGCAACUGGAGAGCGGCGCGGCCACGCCGUAAAACACCCAACUUCUGAAUGUUGACCUCGAAUCAGGUAGGAAUACCCGCUGAACUUAAGC
rnacentral:misc_RNA from 1 species